rnacentral:rRNA from 1 species
AGCGAACGCUGGCGGCAGGCCUAACACAUGCAAGUCGAACGAACUCUUCGGAGUUAGUGGCGGACGGGUGAGUAACACGUGGGAACGUGCCUUUAGGUUCGGAAUAACUCAGGGAAACUUGUGCUAAUACCGAAUGUGCCCUUCGGGGGAAAGAUUUAUCGCCUUUAGAGCGGCCCGCGUCUGAUUAGCUAGUUGGUGAGGUAACGGCUCACCAAGGCGACGAUCAGUAGCUGGUCUGAGAGGAUGACCAGCCACACUGGGACUGAGACACGGCCCAGACUCCUACGGGAGGCAGCAGUGGGGAAUCUUGCGCAAUGGGCGAAAGCUUGACGCAGCCAUGCCGCGUGAAUGAUGAAGGUCUUAGGAUUGUAAAAUUCUUUCACCUGGGACGAUAAUGACGGUACCCGGAGAAGAAGCCCCGGCUAACUUCGUGCCAGCAGCCGCCGUAAGAC